GAUGAACGCUAGCGGCAGGCCUAACACAUGCAAGUCGAACGGUAACAUAGACUGCUUGCAGUCUGAUGACGAGUGGCGAACGGGUGCGUAACGCGUAUGCAACUUACCCUUAACUGGAGAAUAGCCUUUCGAAAGGAAGAUUAAUACUCCAUAGUAUUUUUUCUCGGCAUCGAGAAAUUUUUAAAGCUUUGGCGGUUAAGGAUAGGCAUGCGUAAGAUUAGCUAGUUGGUAAGGUAACGGCUUACCAAGGCUACGAUCUUUAGGGGGCCUGAGAGGGUUAUCCCCCACACUGGUACUGAGACACGGACCAGACUCCUACGGGAGGCAGCAGUGAGGAAUAUUGGUCAAUGGACGAAAGUCUGAACCAGCCAUGCCGCGUGCAGGAUGACUGCCCUACGGGUUGUAAACUGCUUUUAUAUAGGAAGAAACCCCUUUACGUGUAAAGGGCUGACGGUACUAUAAGAAUAAGGACCGGCUAACUCCG
rnacentral:rRNA from 1 species